rnacentral:rRNA from 1 species
AUUCCAGCUCCAAUAGCGUAUAUUAAAGUUGUUGCAGUUAAAAAGCUCGUAGUUGGAUUUCUGGUGGGAGCGUUGGGCCGGCCCUAAGGGUCUGAGCUCAAAUGUUUUCCGCCAUCCUUGGAGGGAUGUUGUCUGGCAUUAAGUUGUCGGGCUUCCGAUCUCCAUCGUUUACUGUGAAAAAAUUAGAGUGUUCAUAGCAGGCUUAUGCCGUUGAAUACAUUAGCAUGGAAUAAUAAGAUAGGACCUUGGUACUAUUUUGUUGGUUUGCGUACCUAGGUAAUGAUUAAUAGGGACAGUUGGGGAUAUUACUAUUUCGUUGUCAGAGGUGGAAUUCUUGGAUUUACGAAAGAGUAACUACUGCGAAAGCAUUUAUCAAGGAUGUUUUCAUUA